UACGUAGGUGGCAAGCGUUGUCCGGAUUUACUGGGCGUAAAGGGCGCGUAGGCGGCGCGACAAGUCACUUGUGAAAUCUCCGGGCUUAACUCGGAACGGUCAAGUGAAACUGUCAUGCUAGAGUGCAGAAGGGGCAAUCGGAAUUCUUGGUGUAGCGGUGAAAUGCGUAGAUAUCAAGAGGAACACCUGAGGUGAAGACGGGUUGCUGGGCUGACACUGACGCUGAGGCGCGAAAGCCAGGGGAGCAAACGGG
rnacentral:rRNA from 1 species